UGCCAGCCGCCGCGGUAAUACGGAGGGGGUUAGCGUAGUUCGGAAUUACUGGGCUUAAAGAGCUCGUAGGUGGUUAAAAUAGUUGAUGGUGAAAUCCCAAGGCUCAACCUUGGAACUGCCAUCAAAACUUUUUAGCUAGAGUGUGAUAGAGGAAAGUGGAAUUUCUAGUGUAGAGGCGAAAUUCGUAGAUAUUAGAAAGAAUACCAAUUGCGAAGGCAGCUUUCUGGAUCAUUACUGACGCUGAGGAACGAAAGCAUGGGUAGCGAAGAGGAUUAGAUA
rnacentral:rRNA from 1 species